UGGCGAACGGGUGAGUAACGCGUGAGGAACCUGCCUCAAAGAGGGGGACAACAGUUGGAAACGACUGCUAAUACCGCAUAAGCCCACGGCUCGGCAUCGAGCAGAGGGAAAAGGAGCAAUCCGCUUUGAAAUGGCCUCGCGUCCGAUUAGCUAGUUGGUGAGGUAACGGCCCACCAAGGCGACGAUCGGUAGCCGGACUGGGAGGUUGAACGGCCACAUUGGGACUGAGACACGGCCCAG
rnacentral:rRNA from 1 species